rnacentral:lncRNA from 1 species
UAUUUGCUUGUGUGCUUGUCUAUGUUUUAAACCACAGAAAAUUCUACUUCUCUCAAGACGCAUCUGCUUGCUGCAAAUAUUUGCCCAAUGACCACACCAUGUGUAUUGGACUUAAAACUAUUAUUACAAAAAAGCAUUUAUUUGAUUUAAGCUGUCAAAGGCCCCUGAAUUGAGGUUUGUAGUGCAAGUCCUCAAAUUAGAGAGACGUUUUGCCCCAAAUAUAUUAUUUGGAUCCUAUUAUCAAAAAUACUUCCCAAAAGCACAAAAUUAUUAUUUUA